CAUUUCAGACACCGUCAAUUCUGUAACCAGGCAUAGUGAAGCACUACUCGUUUCAUAGCUCAGACAAGUGAACUUGACCAAAAUCGUG